GAUGAACGCUGGCGGCGUGCCUAACACAUGCAAGUCGAACGAAAAGACGAGACGCUUGCGCCUCUGCCGAUGGCGGCGGGCGGGUGAGUGACGCGUGGAUCACCUCCUUCUAAUCCUGGGAUAACUACGGGAAAACGGAUAGAAUACCACAGCAUAUAUUGCACCGCAGGGUGCAGUGGAGAGGGGCGGCGUUGAUGACACUACUAGAUGGAUACGAGCCGGAUUAGCUAGUUGGGCAGGUAACGGCCUACCAAGGCGACGAUGCGUAGCCGAGCUGAGAGUGUGAUCGGCCACACUGGAACUGAGACACGGUCCAGACUCCUACGGGAGGCAGCAGUAGGGAAUCUUCCGCAAUGGGCGAAAGCCUGACGGAGCAACGCCGCGUGAGUGAUGAAGGCCUUCGGAUCGUAAAGCUCUGUUAUUAGGGAAGAACAAAUGUGGAAUUAACCAUGCACGUCUUGACGGUACCUAAUCAAAAAGCCCCGGCUAACUACGUG
rnacentral:rRNA from 1 species